rnacentral:lncRNA from 1 species
CAACUGAAAUAAUAGAACAACAUUCCGGACUCUAUACCCAGUGUUCUACCCACUGCACAACCUGCCUUCAUCUCAUCAGGGCAGGAGAGGCAGAUGGCUGGCUUCCUAGUCCUUUGCAGCACAAUUGCUUCUGGCUGGCAGGUUUGUCCCUGCUGAAGUUCAAACUGAAGCUGUUGUCACCCCAGUGACCUUGAAGGGACUCCCUGAGGUGUCCUCCCAAGCAUCCAAAGUGUCCCUGAUGAAACAUCUCCUAACUGGAAUCUCUCGAGAAGCAGCCCAGCAUGAUUGGAGCUGAUCCAGCUGGCCUUCUUGUCUAACUGCCAGCUCCUGGCUCUUCAUCAGAGGCAGCAGCACUGCCCCACUCCCUGGAGCUGCCCACCUCCCCCAGCUUGGGACUAGGAGGAGAAUAA